CCUACGGGUGGCAGCAGUGAGGAAUAUUGGUCAAUGGGCGCGAGCCUGAACCAGCUAAGCAGCGUGAAGGAUGACUGCCCUACGGGUUGUAAACUUCUUUUGUAAAGGAAUAAAGUGAGGCACGUGUGCCUUUUUGUAUGUACUUUAUGAAUAAGGAUCGGCUAACUCCGUGCCAGCAGCCGCGGUAAUACGGAGGAUCCGAGCGUUAUCCGGAUUUAUUGGGUUUAAAGGGAGCGUAGAUGGGUUGUUAAGUCAGUUGUGAAAGUUUGGGGCUCAACCGUAAAAUUGCAAUUGAUACUGGCAGUCUUGAGUACGGUAGAGGUAGGCGGAAUGCGUGGUGUAGCGGUGAAAUGCUUAGAUAUCACGAAGAACUCCGAUUGCGAAGGCAGCUUACUAGACUGACACUGACGUUGAGGCUCGAAAGCGUGGGUAUCAAACAGGAUUAGAUACCCGAGUAGUC
rnacentral:rRNA from 1 species